GCCCUGAUAGCUCAGUUGGUACGAGCGUGCGACUGAAGUUCGCAAGGUCACCUGUUCGACCCAGGUUCAGGGCA